GGAUUUCAGGCUUGCUGGGGCCAGGCUCUGGGCUGCAGGCUCAAAGCAGGCUUCUUCUCAUUUCACUACUACCUGAACCCUUUGAGGACAGGCUGCUCUUCUUAAUGACAGGGAGCAGGAUGCUUCGCAUCUCACAGCCGGAAGUGGUGGAGACAGGAUGGAUGGACCUGGGUGGCUAGAGCCCAUCCUGUUGUGUCUUCCAGGGUUAGCUGUAGGGUUGAAAGGAGAUGAUGGAGCUGAAAGUCUCCAGCACACAGUAGGUGUUUUCAUAAACUGUAGCAGCUGCCAUCACACUGCCUGCAGAUGGGCCAGGGGCAGGAAGGGGCUCAGAUCCCGGCCUGAGCAUCAGCGCCAGCACACGCGGCCCUUGCUGGAUGGAGUGUGGAGAGGGUAGUGGUCCACAGGGGAUGCUGUUCCCUCUCCCUCCCCAGGGGCCGAGCUCUCCAGGCUUCCAGGUUUGGGCUGAGGAGGGAGACUCGGAGGACAUGGGCCACCAAGGCCAAGGAAGCCGCUGACUGCACGCCGGUCACAUGUACUUAACCAAACCCCCUGGAGCCCAGGAAGCUGAGCACAUUGUCAUUAAUGCCUCCGUUGUACAGAUGCGAAAACUGAGGUCCAAACUGAUCUAGGGCUGCAGAGCUAGGAGGUGGGGAAGCUGGAGCCAGAUUCAGGUUCGGCUGCUCUGAAGCCCUUUUCCUGCCUUUCUAGCCCCUUUCCUGUCAUUGCCUGGAUGUGAGCCCUGGCCACAUCUACAAACCCUCCCCAGGACCCUUUGGAGCUCUCUAGCUCUCUGGGAUGGGGUCUCCUGAGGCCAGGCUGGCUCAGCAGGGACACACUGGCCUUUGUGUAGGCUUGGGUAGGCUACGCACUGGCCAGGCAGGGCGGCCAGUGGAGUGGGGAGAGGGUAGUGCAGCCCAGCCAGCUAGGGACAAAUGCUCAGAGCGGGAAUAGAGGCCCCUUUGUGUGGUGCUCAGUGGGGGAGGGGGUGCUGCCAGCUGGCACCCUGCGUGACUGGGGAGGCCUGAACCCUCCACAGAGGCCUGCUGCCAUGCCAGGGGACUGGCCGUGGCGUCUGUCAUCUCCCUGCCACCUCCUUCCACCAUUAUCUGCCUUCCUCUUGUUUCCUGGGGACCCUGGCUGCUAGAGAUGCUAAAGGGAGCCCGUAACCUGAUUUUUUGUGGGCCUACUAUGUGCCAGCACUGGGCCAGACCCUCCACCCACCCUGCAGGUCAAGGGCAGUAGUCCCAUGUUAUAGAUGAAGGCACUGAAGCUCAGAGGAGACAGGUGUCUGUCCAUCACAAGCAGCUGGUUCUGGGGCCAGGAUUUGGCCGACUUCAAAGCCAUUUCUUCCCAUGGAGUUGCCCUUCGUGCCCGGGACCCAGGGCUGUGAGGUGAGGUGCUGCCUCAGUUGCUGGGGUGGCCUGAGGAAGGCAGCUGGCUGUCUUUGUUGCCUGGGCAGCAGGGUCUCGGGCAGCCAUUUCCAUCCCUCCAUCCUGGCCAGUCUCUGGGCAGCGGCUGCAGCUUUAGAGGAGACCAAACCCAGGACCCUGUCAAGGGCUGCCCUACCCAUUAAGCAUUUGAUCCCCUUAGCUUAAACAUGAGAAUGAGGAGUUCCCGCUGUGGCGCAACCAGAUUGGUGGCAUCUUGGGAGCACUAGGAUGUGGGUUCCCCAGCCCAGCACAGUGAGUUAAGGAUCCGGUGUUGCUGCAGCUGUGGCUUAGGUCAACACUGUGACUCAGAUCUGAUCCUUGGCCCGGGAACUCCAUGUGCCUCAGGGCAGCCAAAAAGAAAAAAAAAAUGUGAAUCAAAGAGUAUAUACCCCAGGGAGCACUGGGGGAUGUAGGCCAGCUCACCGAGCUCAACACCUGUACAUACUCAGGCUGCAUAAACACGGCCUGGGGUUUCCAGGCACCCCUUCUACCUCCUGGGAGAGGUGAGAGGACAAGGCAGUGAUGAGGUGGCAGGGAUGUGAGAGUAACUCUUAGGAGCACAAGCACAUGGCAGGGAUUGGCUCACUGGGCCCCUGCCGUAGCUCCAUUUUGCAGGUAAGCAGACUGAGGCUCAGAGAGCUGAAGUGGCUUGUCAAGGGGCCCUGGGCCCUAAGGAGCCCAGGAACACAGUGAAGGUAGCUUCUCAGCUCUUAGGGUCUCCUGACCCCCACCUGGCCUGUCGGGCAGCUGUCCACUGCAGACACUGACCACAUCCUGCCUGUGAGCCCAGCCCUGUGGGAGGCCCAGACCCACCCACAGGAAGCCCCCAAAAGCCACUUGGCCACCCGCAGCCCAGGCCAGCAACCUGGGCCAGCUUACACCCUCCAGGCCAUUCCUCCUCUGUGCCUUUGCUCUGGCCAGGGCUCCCACUGGUCGUGCCUUCCCCACCCGACGCUCAUGGGGCACACACAUGCCCCCUCUGCAGGUGACUCCAGCUCUCCUUCUUCCAUAAAAGGGCUUGGAGCCCCCUCUCCUCCUGCAGUCCGCUUGCCAAUGCGGGAGCCCCAAGCCUCUUCACCUUCUCCCAGCUCUCUGGGGCACAUAGUAGGCCUUCAGUGAAGUCUAAACAAAGAUGCAGCGUUGGCCGUCAGGAUCUGGGCCCCAGCCAGCCUAGCCGGAGAAAUAGAUACAAACAGUGACAGACUGCAUGUCCGGGGAUGGGGUCAAGUGCAGGACAUCCAAGGAGCUGGCAGGUCCCACUCCAGCUCUCCCUCCUCUCCCCAAGGGAACAGACACUUCCGAGCCUUUACCGUGCUCCUGAAAAAUCGGCCAUCUCAGUUUAAUCCUUCCAGGGCCAGGCAGGGGUUUACUGAUGAGACACAGCUCAGGAAGGCAGAUGCCGGCUGAGGUCACACAGCUUCUGCUGAGCUUCUCUCGGAACCUUGAACCAUCUGACCCCAAAACCUGUGCCCUUCUCCCGGGUGGAAAAUUCAGGUGCCCAAAGGGCCAACCAGGUGACACAGUGAUCACAGCAGCUGCCACUGGGCCUUGUGUGUGGGCUCCAGAGCUGCCACUUUUAGUUAGUUUGUUUUUAAGACAAACCAGACAAUGAGAAUUUUAGAUGAAAUUAUAGUUCUCUUCUUUUCAAUAUUGGCAACCGUGUCACAAUUUUUUUUUUUUUUUUAACUGCAACAGACAGGGCAAAGAGAAGAUGUUGAUGGGGGGAUUUGUACCCUUCAGUGACUCAGCAUUGUCUGGGUGGACGGAAUGAUGGGGGUCCCAGGAUGUCUCACCGUCCCCAUCCCCGUUCCCAGCCCGCAAGAGCCCCUCAAACCGAAUAGCCGCUCAGCGCUCCCCUGAAGACACCCCCAGGCGCCGCCUUCACCGCCAGAGGCAGGAGGCAGGGCCCGAGCCCCACGAGGGCACCACCCAAAUAGCUAUAAUCAGCAGCCUCGCCAAGACUUCAAACUCACCCAAUUAUCCUGCGAGGGAAAAAAAACACAAAAUGAAAACAAAUUAACAUGUUUGCAUAGAAGCUGCUGCAGCAACACACACAGCCGCGCACACGCACAUGCUGGCGCAUGCCCUGGCGAGGCUCCGAGAUGCCGCCGCCACCCCCUCUCCAGGACUAGAACCCACCUGGCAGGGCUGGGCAGGACCAGGCUGGGCCUACUGCCCAGGGCCAAAAUGUGGCAUAGGCUCAAUGACUUGAUUGUCCCCAUACCUGGCUGGGAACUGUUUCAGUCCACUGGCUUUCACUUUCUUUAUGCUUUUUUUCUUUUCGGAUGUAAUAAACGUGAAAUUCAUUGUAUGCCAGAAUUCAGCCUCAUUGACCCUACAAGGCCUGGCUUAUCCAAGAAGCCCCUGCUGGGUGCCUUUGGGCUCUGGCCAGGUGCUGCCCUACCUUGCCCCUUGGAGCACGAGCAUGCAGUCAAGGAGACCAGAGGCUUCCUCCUCAGAAGCUGAUCACCCUGGGAAGGACCCCUCUUAUCUGGCUCCCUCGAAGCCCCGUCUGCCCCGGGGCUAGGGUUGCUGGGCGUGUGUGCCUGAUCAUCCUUCUGUGUCUGAGUCGUUCCCAUGUUCUGCUGCCUGGCACACAGUGGGUCCCCAGGAGAGCUUGGGUGAAUGGCGCCUUCCCCUGGGCCCCACCUUGCCCUGGGCACAUCGGAGGCCUGUUCCUGGGAGUAGGAGGAGAAACAGUGCUAGAAGGAGUUAGGAUUUAAGAUCUUGGAGCUCAGUGGUCCCCAGGCCCCUCUCCCUCACCCCUCAGGACCACAGACAAAUCCCUUCACCUUUCCAUCUCCUUACUGCCGUCUCUGCCCAUGACGGUGGAAGCUGAGGGCGGACAUUGCCAGCGCUCUGGGCACCCAGGGCACAGCCAGUGACCAUAAUUGAUACUUAGAUCCCCUGGCUUAGUCCUCCCCAUUGGCCAAGUGAGGAAGGGGAAUUUCUAGCCCAAUUUUUCCGAUGGAGAAACUGAGGCCCCAGGGAACUCAGUGACUUAAAGAGAGUCCUUUUGGUAAGUGGCAGAGCUGGGGUUCAGUCACAGCGGUUCUGGUGUGUGCUUUAGCCCUGGUGCUCUCUGGCCCUUCCUGGCUGCCACCAGGUGCCCACAGUGUUCGUGGCGCCCACAGGGGUAGUGCCUCGAAAGUCUGGAGAGUAUGGACCAGUGGGACACCAUCCUGUUGGUGAUGGUGGAGGAUUAACUUCAUUGGCCUCAGGACGGCCCCUUUGGCAUCCAUCAGCCUCACCUACAGUCGCACCCACCCAGUGCUCACCCCAAGGGGGCUUCGUGGGACAGUGGGUGCCCACUUGGAAUCCCAGCCCUCCCUUGGCCUGGCCUAGCCUCAGGCUCAAGAGUCCUGCAGACCUGACUUCAUGUCCAGACCCCACCAGGUGACCUCAGACAGACCCUCGGCCUCUGGCCCCUCCUUCCUGAGAGUAGGAGGCGUGGCCAUGCCCACACCUCUCAGGAGGGCCUUGAGGCUGAGACAUGGCUCCAGCACGUGGUCACUGCUGGAUGAAGCAGCCCCCUGCCCAGACCUCCUGAGGAAGAGGCCCUCCCUCUCUUCCAGAAGCUUCCCAGCCCUUGGGCCUCCAGGACACUGCUUGGGGUGGGGUUUGCUUUGCCUCCAGCCCAUGCUCUGCGCACCCACCUACGUUGAGGAACACCCGCUCUGUCCUCUGGGGGUCCAGGUGUUCCAGGCGUGCAGAGGGGGUUGUUGGCUUGAAGUGGUAAACUGUGUAGUAAAACCAGGUGGGAGAGACCCCAGGGGCCAGAGCAGAUGACGGAGAGGAGCUGUGCGCCCCGGGCCUGCAGGGAGUGAUGGGAAAGGAAAGGCCCCAGUGCGUCCUCUGUUUGUUCAGUAGUGAUUUUUUGAGCAUCUGCUCUGUGCCUGGCCUGGGAGUGGGAAGACUAGAGACCGGUCCUCUAAGCCCCUGUUAGAGGACCAGGUGAGCAAGGGGAAAGGGACAGGGUGGGUAUGGAGUGGGGAAGGAGUUCCUACAGGGCCUCAGAGGAUGUUGUUAGAAAUUCUUUGGAGGAGGUCCCGCAGUGGCUCAGCAGUUAACAAACCCGACUAGCAUCCAUGAAGACUCAGGCAUGAUCCCUGGCCUUGCUCAGUGGGUGAAGGAUCUGGUGUUGUCGUGAGCUAUGGUGUAGGUCAUAGAUACGGCUUGGAUCCGGCAUUGCUUAGCUGUGGCAUAGGCCAGUGGCUCCAGCUCCAGCUGGACCCCUAGCCUGGGAACCUCCAUAUGCCAUGAGUGCAGCCCUGAAAAGACAAAAAAGACCAAAAAAAAAAAAAAAA
ensembl:lncRNA